UACGUAGGGUGCGAGCGUUUAAUCGGAAUUACUGGGCGUAAAGCGUGCGCAGGCGGUUUCGUCGUGUCCGAUGUGAAAGCCCCGGGCUCAACCUGGGAAUGGCAUUGGAAACUGGCGGACUCGAGUGUGGCAGAGGGGGUGGAAUUUCCGCGUGUAGCAGUGAAAUGCGUAGAGAUGCGGAGGAACACCGAUGGCGAAGGCAGCCCCCUGGGCUAACACUGACGCUCAGGCACGAAAGCGUGGGGGAGCAAACAGG
rnacentral:rRNA from 1 species